rnacentral:rRNA from 1 species
AAAGCGUGCGCAGGCGGUUUUGUAAGUCUGUCGUGAAAUCCCCGGGCUCAACCUGGGAAUGGCGAUGGAGACUGCAAGGCUAGAGUUUGGCAGAGGGGGGUAGAAUUCCACGUGUAGCAGUGAAAUGCGUAGAUAUGUGGAGGAACACCGAUGGCGAAGGCAGCCCCCUGGGUCAAAACUGACGCUCAUGCACGAAAGCGUGGGGAGCAAACAGGAUUAGAUACCCUAGU